CUGUACAUGUGGACCCAGCGCCACAUGUACAGCCUAGCUUUUUAGAAUUUUAGAAUUUUCAAACGGUGCUCUCACCGUUUGAAAAUUCUGUGUACAGUUGAUCAUUUGUACAGUUGAACAAGUACGAACGGAGCCCCCCCGCUUGGCCGAUAUGCAGAUACCCCAGUAGGACUCGUGGCGCCCCGUCUCCUCGGGGGUGAAAUCGUGUCGGUAACGUGGAGAAACUGGCGUCAGUCAAACCCCCAGAACUGAGCCUCUACUUUGGUCUAUUCUCUUUGCUGUCUACUGUCGCGUAGACCGCUACAGCGCUACUUAUCAUAUAGGUUCCCUAUGACUUUCAUGUCAUUACUAGAUUUAGCCUCUUGCGUUCAAAUAUGAUACUCAAUAAUUUCAAGUUUUGAGAAAAAGUCAAACCUUUGUAUUGUUUUAAAUACUUUUGAAGAUAAAAAAACAUAUCCUCUUGAAAAUGGAGUUUCUAAAUGUAAUUUGAGUCCCACAUCAAACCGUUCAAGUCGUAAAACCUUUUCUCGGAGACAGUCUGCUUUCUCCGAGAAAAACACAAGUAUUUUCUCUCUAUCUCCCUCUUUAAAAUCCACAUGUGAGGCCCCUUUGUUAAAAUCAUAUGUCCCCGGAGACAAAGCUGAGUAAGCCCAGAGGAUCGUGGGGGUGUAGAGCCAACCCCCUAACUGAGCUCAAGGCCACGAUUGGUCUCCUACUCCUAUUUGUGAAACAAGCCCUUCGUCCUGACUCUUAAUCUAAAAUUGAAGAAUGAUUGUAAGGCAGUUCGACUUCAGACACCGAAAAGUUGUGAAGCAGAGUGGUUUUGCACUCGACUAAGGUAUGAUUUAGGGAGGUAAUCUCAAACUUUGAUGUCGCCGACAAGAAAACAGGGGACAAGUACCUCCGGAAGCCGUGCGCGGCGCUGUACACCGUCUUCUCCUCUAAGGUAUGAUUCAGCCAGGUAAUCUCAAGUGAAAAACAGGGGACAAGGUCUCGCAAGCGCCACGAGGGCGCGCGGCGAUCACUUUCACCUUCCCCUUAACUCCUGGUCAUCCCCACUCUUCUAAGCUGUUCGGCGCAGAGAUUAUUUCUUAAAAUGCAAAAUGAUUUUAAAGAGUACGGAAAAAUGUGAAAAAAUUCUUUACAAGGAAGAAAAUAAAGGAAAAACACAAAAAUAAUGAGAAUCAUUGUUAUUUUUUGUUUAAGUUCCUAUCUCUUUCUCCAUGAUUUUCCCACUCAUUCCCGCGAAUUAGUGAACUAUUUCAUAAAGAAAUAUAGAAUAAUCUAUUUUUUUUAUUGAUUACGAAUAAUGGGAUACUAGUAAUAUUCAAAAUAAUGUAAGUAAAUUCAUUGAUUCACCCAUAAACCAAAAUGUUUUUUCACGAAGGGGUGUUGGAGUGUGGGGAGAUUUGUUUACAAUUCGCGAUUACCCAUUGGUUUAUCCUAUCGAGACAUUUAGGAAUCGAUUUACAGAUCGUGUGCUAAUCGAAUCUGUGAAAAUGGUGAAAUCGUGUUCAAUUGGGAAUUGUAAAAACUCAUCGUGGGACAGUUAUCGGUUUAUGUUUUUCACGUAGAAUGUAUGAAGUGAUGAAUAGAUUCUUUAAAAAAUUACCAUUCAUCCUUUUCCUAUCCAUGUUUUUCUUUAUAAUUUUCCGAUGUGCAUGUCAACCCGUUUUUGGGAGAAAUUGCAAAAAAAAAUUGAGCGCCUUCGCCGAGAUUUGAACGCUCCACCGUAGAAAUUGUCGAGUAGUGGGGACGAAACGCGCAUGAGGAGAAGACGGUGUACAGCGCCGCGCACGGCUUCCGGAGGUACUUGUCCCCUGUUUUCUUGUCGGCGACAUCAAAGUUUGAGAUUACCUCCCUAAA